GGCCUCGUGGCCUAAUGGCUAGGGCGCUAGAUUUCGGCGACACAGUAACAUGUGCGAUUCUGAUUCUCUAGAGAUUGUCGGUUCGAGUCCGGCCGAGGUCG